GUAGAGAGGACGUGGCUGCCUGGGAGAGCAAGCAGGGUACUUGAGGCAGAGCAGGGCUGGGGAAGGGCAGGCAGAGCUGAGGAGAUCUGGCCUGUUGAGUCCCCAGGUUGAGGCUUUGCUAAAGGCCAGCGGAAGUAUUAGGGCUGCAAGGAGGCAGCUGCGGCUAGAAAGGCAGCAGGUCCAACUCCCUUGCCAGUGAUGAGUGGCCAUUACGGACUGCAGUUUGCCCCUGAGAGCAGGGGCUAGAGGAUGAAUGGCAGUAGCCACUGAGGCAAGAUGGGUAGAGGGGGUUGGGGUUCCCCUGGGAGGGGAGACCCAGAGUGUGGGGGCACUGCUGUGGGGCAGUACUCCAAGAUAAGAGGUACCGGGGUCCGGGAGGGAUGCGGGGCCUGAAGUGCUACAAAUGGUUGAGAUUUACAGAAAGCAGGUACCGGUAGGAAGACACCAGCCAGCAGGAGGUGCUCCGAAGCUGGAAUCGAGCUAAUUCCUGGAUAACCAGCAGGAGACGCUACACUGUAUAUACCAAACUUGGAAAGUGAGGAAAUAUACAACAGGCCACCGUAACGUUAACAUGAUCUCCAAGUUGGGAAGCCCGGAGGUGUGUACUGCAGGUGACUUACAGACAUGCUGCUUUUAUGAGGAGCUGCAUGCGGUUUUCGGCAGUGACCCCACCACUAUCCCAAAACAUCCCGGGUGAACUUGAGCAGCAAUGAGGAGGACGUUGUGGAGGAGGAGGAGACUGUGAGGCAGGCAAGCAGAGGAUCCAUUCUCCCUGACAGCCAAGAACUGUUUUUAACCGUGGAGCCCAUCCCUUCACAGGACCAGUUGGCAGCGGAGCAUGAUGUCAGGAAAGGCACCUCUGGUGAGUACAUAUUUCCAAUCAAACUGUAGGGGUUACAUGCUAUGGUUUUUUUUAUGUUUAAUCUGAACAAAAAAGAAGGUGUAGGGGGUAUUGAUAGCCACUCCAGCUACGCAGAGAGUGCUGUCUGAAAAAAGACUGUUUAUGUGCCUGGGAUGGCCCAGGAAUCCUCCAUGGAGAUUUCUAGGAAGCUUUCAUGAAGGUUUCCGGGAAUGGCUGCCUUAUUUCGUCCACCAUGGUAGGACACUUUCCCGUGCCACUCCAGUAUUAACCCUACUGGCAUCAUUUCAGCACACAGCAUUGCAGCAUAAGUACCCAGACACUUACAGCAUCUGCUCCCUUUCCGCCUCUGUUACCCUCAGGAGAGUGAUAUUCCAUAGGGUCACCUAGGGAAAACGGGGGAAGUUUUGAAUGCUAGCCCUUAAACUGCAAACGAGUAAUCCGUCCCCUUUUUGGUGAAAUCUGGGUUGUGUAUGUAAUCUGUUUCCUGAGCAUGCCAUGGUUGUGGUUGGAAGGCAUCACUGUGUAUUGCAAGCAGUAUUGGGGCAGAGGGGGACAGUGGCUGCUUCCUGUUUGUCUCCAUCCCCCCAAACCAUUGCUGCUUUUGUAAAAAACAAACUAUUUGGGGGGCUUUACAUUGGUGCCUGCCCUCAAGCACCAUCCAGCCUGCUGCUUUUCUCAAGUACCAACCUGUGAUCCCAAGGAUGUCUUCACAAAAGCAGCAGCACAAGACCUCUCACGGAUGCCUUGUGGCGUUACUCACCAUGGCUGGAGCAGCAAAUCGGUUCUUGCAAUAGCCAGUGGUUGUGAUUACACUGGGGCUUGCAGUGAAGUGUAUUGAGGGCUGUAUUUUUAAUCAAAAAUUUAUCCUUGCACCAGAAACAAUGUAUACACUGGUUUCAGAGUAGCAGCCGUGUUAGUCUGUAUUCACAAAAAGAACAGGAGUGCUUGUGGCACCUUAGAGACUAACCAAUUUAUUUGAGCAUAAGCUUUCGUGAGCUACAGCUCACUUCAUCGGAUACACUGUCAAUGCUACCCUUGAGCUCUGCAUUCCUUGGAGCUGAGACCUUGUCCGUCGGCACAUCCUCCACACCAGGACAGAGAAUUUCCCAGAUUAGAAAGCGGAAAAAGAAGACUUGGGAGGACCUGUUCAAUGAGUAAUGCGUGCCUCCGAGAGUGACAAGACGGAGCGCAGAUCAUGGAGGAUUACCUUGUCCGAGAACCAGGUCAUGGACAGAGAGGACAGGAGAUCAUGCAAGGAAUAAGAGGGUGCACACAGGCAGAGAUGCUGCAGAUUAUGAGGGAGCAAACAGACAUGUUGAGGCAUCUGGCUGAGGUUCAGGAAAGGCAGCUGGAUGUUAGAGUUCUGCUGCAGCCUACGCUGAACCUGCUACCAUCAUCGCCCAGUUCUACAUCCUCCUCCCCAAAACGUCCUGUGAGGCGAGGCGGGAAAGUCCGGCAUCCCUUGCACUCAACACAGGGGGAGAGUACAAGGACCAGAAGGCGCCCAUUCUCAGACCUUUGAUUGUUCUUGCAGUGCAUCUGUAAGCAAGCUGUCCUUCUUUCUCCCCUCACCGUAUAACAGAUAACCUGGGGCAAAAGGUUCUUACUUUUCUUUGCUGUCUCUGUGUCUUUGUGUGCAUAAUAAAACUUAACAGAUUGAGGAGAAAA